UCAAAAUUGACAAUUUUAAUGAUAGAUGUGAUGCGUUUGUGAAUUUAACGGUGUAAAACAAUCCAAAUCUGAUAAAAUUUUUAUAGAAAAUUCUUUUCACUAUUUAGAGUAAGAUCUGUACCUCUGAUCUUAAAUUCAAGUCUUUUAUCAUCAUUUUUUAUGAGAUUUUUAUUUUUAGCCGUUCAUUUUUAGACCUCUCGUUUGAUAAGUAAAUAAUACCGAAAAAUUAUGAAAUUUAAUUUUCAAAUACUUUCAAUAGUGUAGAUCAAGUCUAAU
rnacentral:lncRNA from 1 species